GUCAGUUUUAUUGCAGAUUUGUAUAUCCCAUUUUAAUCCUCCAUCAAAUGAUAAAGGAAGGAUAUAUGAAGCUUUCUGAUGAACUUAAACAGGAAAAGAAGUUCUCGCUCCGGUAGGUGAGUGCGACCGACGAUCUACAGACUUGCUCCUCGAGCAAGACAAAGCCAGCCAGUUCACAAGGAGUAAGAGAGAAAACCCACCUAAGAAAAGAAACACCGAGAACUUAACAAUUCCAAGUCUUGGGAUGUAUGUAUAGAGAAAAACACAGCUGCUGACAGCAUCCUGGGAGAAUUCUACCCACUCGAAGACGGUAGCUCAUGUCCCUCACUCACCAGGAAGACUGGCCACGUCACAAGAGAUAACAGCGCAGGUCUUGGAUUCAUCUGGAAUUUAUUCUGCUGCGAGGCAUGAGGAACACAUCGAGGAGGAAGGCGACUCCCCA